GGCGUCGUACCCAAGCGGCCUAAGGGGAGGGUCUGCAAAACCCUUAUACGGCGGUUCGAAUCCGCCCGACGCCU
rnacentral:tRNA from 1 species